rnacentral:rRNA from 1 species
GAUGAACGCUAGCUACAGGCUUAACACAUGCAAGUCGAGGGACCGGCGCACGGGUGAGUAACACGUAUCCCACCUGCCCGUUACUCGGGGAUAGCCUUUCAAAAGAGAGAUUAAUACCCGAUAUAAAGGAUGGGGAUGCGUUUCAUUAGGUUGUUGGUAAGGUAACGGCUAACCAAGCCUUCGAUGGUUCGGGGUGUUGAGAGGAAGGUCCCAUGCAUUGGAGCCGAGACACGGUCCAAACUGGUACGGGAGACAGCAGUGAAGAAUAUUGGGCAAUGGGGGCUAGCCUGAACCAGCCGAGUAGCUGGAAGGAGGAAGGCUUAUGAGUGGUAAACUUCUGUUGUAGAAGAAGAUGUAUUAUAAGAAGAAGGAUCGGCUAACUCCGUGCCAGCAGCCGCGGUAAUAC